GAUGAACGCUGGCGGCGUGCCUAAUACAUGCAAGUCGAGCGAACGGACGAGAAGCUUGCUUCUCUGAUGUUAGCGGCGGACGGGUGAGUAACACGUGGAUAACCUACCUAUAAGACUGGGAUAACUUCGGGAAACCGGAGCUAAUACCGGAUAAUAUUUUGAACCGCAUGGUUCAAAAGUGAAAGACGGUCUUGCUGUCACUUAUAGAUGGAUCCGCGCUGCAUUAGCUAGUUGGUAAGGUAACGGCUUACCAAGGCAACGAUGCAUAGCCGACCUGAGAGGGUGAUCGGCCACCCUGGAACUGAGACACGGUCCAGACUCCUACGGGAGGCAGCAGUAGGGAAUCUUCCGCAAUGGGCGAAAGCCUGACGGAGCAACGCCGCGUGAGUGAUGAAGGUCUUCGGAUCGUAAAACUCUGUUAUUAGGGAAGAACAUAUGUGUAAGUAACUGUGCACAUCUUGACGGUACCUAAUCAGAAAGCCACGGCUAGCUACGUG
rnacentral:rRNA from 1 species